UUAUGUGAAGCCAAAGAGAGGCUUAUCACUGUUAAUGAUAGAAUUGGGUUUACCCCCCACUUAAG
rnacentral:tRNA from 1 species